rnacentral:rRNA from 1 species
CCUACGGGGGGCAGCAGUGGGGAAUAUUGGACAAUGGGCGAAAGCCUGAUCCAGCCAUGCCGCGUGUGUGAAGAAGGCCUUCGGGUUGUAAAGCACUUUCAGUGGGGAAGAAAGCCUUGGGGCUAAUACCCUCGAGGAAGGACAUCACCCACAGAAGAAGCACCGGCUAACUCCGUGCCAGCAGCCGCGGUAAUACGGAGGGUGCGAGCGUUAAUCGGAAUUACUGGGCGUAAAGCGCGCGUAGGCGGUCUGAUAAGCCGGUUGUGAAAGCCCCGGGCUCAACCUGGGAACGGCAUCCGGAACUGUCAGGCUAGAGUGCAGGAGAGGAAGGUAGAAUUCCCGGUGUAGCGGUGAAAUGCGUAGAGAUCGGGAGGAAUACCAGUGGCGAAGGCGGCCUUCUGGACUGACACUGACGCUGAGGUGCGAAAGCGUGGGUAGCAAACAGGAUUAGAUACCCCGUAGC